AUGAAGAGAGACUCUAAGAUUUAUCUUUCCAUGCAAAAUUUGGAAUGUUUGCCACAGUUUUUAAAAGUAAUGCUUUCUCUAGCAGGAGGUUGUACAUUCCAACUGAAAAAAUCUUCAGAGAUUUUUCUGCAAGAGAGUCUCCUACAGUAUUUAUACAUCUGUUCACUAUUGUUGCCAGCUUUGACAUACAGUGAGCUUAGAAGUCAUCACUUCCAUUUUCACAAGAAAACACUGAAGAGACUAAAAAUGAAUGAUGAGGAAAACCAUCACCCUGAACACUGAAGAGACAGCAAAGUGUGAUCCCUCCAAGGGUCAUUGGAUCAUAAAGACUGAUGAAGACAUAAAAUAAUUUUUUAAGACUAUGGACUUGCUAAGUAAUUUAAAUUUUAGGUAAUUAUUUUAUCAUUUUUGCUGACGAACAUUGGAAAUGAGUUCUCUAAGACUCUGUCUAGGAAUAAACCAUAUUGUUUUUCUCUUCCGUCAGCAACAAGCUUUCCGAGUGACAGCAUAUGGGUUCUCCUUUUAAUUUUAUUCUCCCCAAAAUGGGGAUGCAAAAUAUCAGUAUACUUCACCUAAAUAAUUAUGCAUCUCUGAAGAUUGAAUAAUGCCAUUUCUAAGUCAAGUUCCAGAGAAGGAGUAAAAUAAUGAAUAUUGAGGAUUUCAGAGGAGGGAGAAAUCACUAAGAGGUGAGAUAGUAAGAAAAGACUUCAUGUAAUCUGGAACAAAAACUGGGUCCUGAAAAUUUAAGCAAAAGGAAAAAAAGGAAAGGAAAGGCAGUAAGAAAGAAAGGGUAGGAGGCAGGAGGCAGCAGGUAGGUAUUUCAAUAAAAAGGAGCAGGAUGAGCCAGAACACAAAGACAGAAUGGUUCAUGAAAUGAAAGUUAAGAACAGUAAGAACAAUUUGUUUGGCAAGAAGGAUUUAGGGUAAUACACAAUAUUAAAUUAGAUUGGAAAGGAAAGUAAGAAGUGGUCAUUUAAACCUUGGUCAUGAAACUGAAUCUGCCUUCUGUAGAAAUUCAGGAAUGUUAAAAUGUGCCUUCUGUACAAAUUCUGGACCUCUUCCGGAACGUUUUUUUAAGUGACAGUAAAUCACAGGGACACUAGAUUAUUUGGCAUGAAAAACUAAUUGUAGGCAGAGUUCAAUUAAAUUGUAGUCAAUAUCAGGAUUUUAGUGUUUGCAGCACAUUUUUAUAUAAAACCAUAUCAUUAAAUUCGUAUGCAGUUGCAAUGAAAAUCUGAGGUUCCCAUCCCUACUGAAACAUUCUCUGGGCUGAAACACAUCAGAAGGAGGGAGGGAAGGAGUGAGGGACAGGAGGGAGAGAGGAAGGGAAGGAGGAAGGAAGGAAGGAAGCCCAGUCUGAAAAAUUGAUCUUUUUAAAUCUAGAGAAAUAGCAACUAGAAAAAUAGUGAGAAGUAUAUACAAAUGUCUAGAAUUCCAUCUUAAUCUUUAAAUUUGAAUAAAAUUACCCUCAAUAUGCAUCAUUAAAAAGGAGUUAGCUUUAUAGUAAACAAAACUCACAUGAUUCAUGACUUACACAGACUUAUAUAAUCAAAAACAUUUUAAAAGUAUUAGGCAAUCAUUUCCUUCAAGAAAGAGUCCUUGUAGCUGCAGGUUUAAUUUAUCAUUAAGUAUGUUUAUCUAAGUUUCUGUGUGCCAGAGCUUGACCAAAAUCUCAGGAACCUUAAAACAAUAAGGGUUCUAAACAUAAGUAAAGAAAGUUCUCCUUUAUCUUUAAACUGGACUAUUAUAUGGCCAGCUAUGCAUUUUAGAAAUAGCAUUUUUUCAUUUCUCUCCCUGGUAGGUUCUACUUUUCAUGUUAAUUUUGUACAUAUUUCUAACCUACAUUAGUACAAAGUCACAUCUUGUACAAUAGAAAUGCAGGUUUAUUUAUAUCUGUUAAGCUUUGCUGUUAUUUAUGUUACAAAAAAAAUACUGACAGAGCAUAUUUUGUUUCUAAAAGUCUCAAUCAGUAGUGCUUUUCUGACAAUUGCAUAUUAUUUUUGAAUGAUUUCUAAUGGCAAUGAAAUAUAAGUGACAUGUGAUAGGCUUUAAAAGCAAAUAAUGGACUAUAUUAGUUCGUUUUCAUGCUCCUGAUAAAGGCACACCUGAGACAGGGUAAUUUACCAAAGAAAGAGGUUUAAUGGUGAAAUCACAUUUGUAGGUGGCUGAGAAGCCUUAUAAUCAUGGCUGAAGGCAAGAAGGAGCAAGUCACAUCUUAAGUGGAUAGCAGCAGGCAAAGAGAGGGCUUAUGCAGAGAAACUUAGUUUUUAAAACCAUCAGAUCUUGUGAGACCCAUUCACUAAUAAUGAGAACAGCAUGGGGAAGACCCUCCAUGAUUCACUCAUCUCCCACUGGGUCCCUCCUACUCCAUGUGGGAAUUAUUGGAACCACAAGAUGAGAUUUGGGUGGGGACACAGAGCCAAACCAUUUCAUGCACUAUGUCUACAUACAUCAAAUUCAUGAUAGCAAAACCAUUUAUGCGCUAGAAAACAUUUAGGUCUAGAAACAAUUGAUCUUUGAAUUACACAUUUC
rnacentral:lncRNA from 1 species